ACCUGUGGCCCUACCACCCUGAUCACGUCCGAUCUCAGAAGCUAAGCAGGGUCAGGCCUGGUUAGUACUUGGAUGAGAAAAAUGUAGUAGCAACAAAUG
rnacentral:rRNA from 1 species